AAUCUAAUCGGACUCAUCUCUGCUCGCAAGGAAGAAUUCUACGAAACGAUUCAAGAGGCUCAGAGUAGGUGGAUGGAAUAACGUUACAAAAUGGAGGGAAUGUGGCAAAGGUUUCCAUCCACUCGUAUUACAUAUUGAUCUGUUUGACGGAACUGAGUGUCUUUUGUUACGCCGGACACGCGCUGAAAAAAGAGGGUCAAGAACUGGUCAGCACGUUGAAUCGCGUGCCAAUUCCCACCGAGUCUUGUGGCUUAGGACACACGCUGACGCGGAUUGCCACUGAUUGCAAAAAUUCUCUAAAAGUGCAGUGUGGCCCGUUUUUCGUACUGUCGCUCGAGCUUUUAAUAUCGAUUUUCAGUGUUGUCAUUACGUACUUUAUCGUUUUAGUCCAAGUAA